GAAUAUGCUUGGGUUUGGAAGCCAUACCUAACUAGAUUUUUUUGUUAGUUUAACUUAUGAUAACAUUUAAUUUUGAACGGGGUUGGUGAAGGUAGGUCUGAGAGGCUUUUGUGAGAGCUUUCUAGGAUUUGAAAGAGUUGAAAACCAUCAAAAGUAGUAGCGUUCUCUUGCAAAUUGAUUUAGAAUAGGAAAUUGACUACGAAGAAUCUUUUGAGCCGCCAAAUUUUUUCUAGUUCUAGUAAUACGAGGUGUGUUGUGUGCGUGGGAAAGUGGAGUUAGUUG
rnacentral:lncRNA from 1 species